AAACAGGAAGGAGGAACCAUAGAGAGAGGAAGUAAGGUAGAAAAAGGGGAUAGGGCAGCAGUCGGUUGUUUGGUCUGUCAGUUGCUGGGAAGUUGGCUGCUGGGUUGUGUUUGUUGAAAGAAGAAUGAUCUAUUGGAGAGUGGAACCAUAGAACUGAAGCUUUGAUCCUAUGUUUCAUUAUCUAUCCUUUGGUUCAAAAUGAAGAAGUUUGGCAACUGUGGUUUCAUGAGUUGGAAAGCCUCCUGAGCCAGCACGCCAAAGGAGGACAUGAUUCAUACUGAAGGAGGGAAUCAUACAUGAUCCCAGAGAGUCUGCCAGUCAAGAAAGCAGCCCUGCUUGAACUUCACCUAGAAGUAGCUAGCACAAUCAGAUACAUAAUGGAAUCAAACCAGGAUCAGAUAACUUAAUGUUGAAGGAGAUUUUGAAGAACAAUUAAUCCAAACUCUCCAUUUUGAGGAAAAUGAGAUCUAUCAUUGGGAAAUAAUUUUCCCAAGAUCAUACAGGAAAGCAACUCAUAAAAUGAAACAUGUCCAGAGAAGAGGUAUAAAAAUGGCGAAUUGGCUAGAAAACACACAGAUGGUUUGAAGAAAUUGAGAGACAAGAUCCCUUGGACAGAUAUGAAACAUGGAGUUCCCAAAUUUUCAGGUCUAUAAUGGGAAAAAACAAAGAAUGGAACACAUAUCAACCAGGCUCCUACUAUGUGCAAGGAAUUUUGCUUUGAUAUUUUAUCUGUCUUUAAGUUAAUAGACUUUUUCUGCUUGGUUCUGGGAGGAAGAUUGUGAAGGGGGAAUGGAAAUAGUAGCAGUCAACUGAAAUUUCCAAAAGUGUAAUGAUAAAUAAAUAAAUUUAAGCUUGAUAUUUAACUUCCCAACAAUUAAAAUUAUCCCAAACUGGAGACAGAUUGCCUCUAGAAAUAAUAGUCUCACUUUCCCUCAAGGCAUUCAAGCAAAAGACUUCCAGAUAACCAUUUAUUAGACACAAUGAAGAUGAUAAUUCUUCUUCAGGUGUUGAAUUACAUCAAACUGCCACCAAGACCCCUGAUAAUUGUAAAAUUCUAUGAUUCUGUGUACUCAGAACAAUGGAUAAAAGCAGCAGAAAGAAAUGUUUUUGUAUUGAUGUAAGAAUAUUCUUUAUGAACAAAGAGAUCUUAUCAUAUUGGGGGGAAAAAAGAAAUAAUGCAUGUUUAGAAGGGUUGUUAGCAAUUGAAAAGCCUUAGGAGACUUUCUAGUCUAAUAAUCUAGCUAGACAGAUAACAAAACUGUGGCCCAGAGAAAUUAAGUGACUUCAUUUGUGUUUAUGCAUUGUUUGGGUAACAGAGACAGCCAAUGUGGGCUUGCCCUUAAUACUUGGCUGUUAGGAAUAAUUCUGAAGAGAAAGUAAAAUACAGAAUACCUAUAAUCACUAAACAGUUCUUUCAUUUUGACAAUUGCUUUUGUGUG